rnacentral:rRNA from 1 species
CGCGCGAUACAGGGUGACAGCCCCGUACACAAAAGCGCAUGUGUUGUGAGCUCGAUGAGUAGGGCGGGACACGUGGUAUCCUGUCUGAAUAUGGGGGGACCAUCCUCCAAGGCUAAAUACUCCUGACUGACCGAUAGUGAACCAGUACCGUGAGGGAAAGGCGAAAAGAACCCCGGCGAGGGGAGUGAAAAAGAACCUGAAACCGUGUACGUACAAGCAGUGGGAGCCCCACCACUAAGCCAGUGGUGAACUCCACAUACGCAUCCUUUGCUGAGGAUACGGUUAACGGAGCGAAAGCGACGUUCAACCGCAAAAGAAGCAGAGGGGGCUUAGUGGUGGGGUGACUGCGUACCUUUUGUAUAAUGGGUCAGCGACUUAUAUUCUGUAGCAAGGUUAACCGUAUAGGGGAGCCGUAGGGAAACCGAGUCUUAACCGGGCGUUAAGUUGCAGGGUAUAGACCCGAAACCCGGUGAUCUAGCCAUGGGCAGGUUGAAGGUUGGGUAACACUAACUGGAGGACCGAACCGACUAAUGUUGAAAAAUUAGCGGAUGACCUGUGGCU